rnacentral:rRNA from 1 species
AGCAGCCGCGGUAAUUCCAGCUCCAAUAGCGUAUAUUAAAGUUGUUGCAGUUAAAAAGCUCGUAGUUGAAUUUCGGGAUCAAUAUGUUGGUCGUGCCUUGGUACGUACUGGCAUCAUCGAUUCCUACCUUCUGAAGAACCUCGAUGUCAUUAAUUUGGUGUCUUGGGGAAUCAGGACUGUUACUUUGAAAAAAUUAGAGUGUUUAAAGCAGGCUCGCGCUUGAAUACAUUAGCAUGGAAUAAUGAAAUAGGACGUUUGAUUCUAUUUUGUUGGUUUCUAGGAUCGACGUAAUGAUUAAUAGGGAUAGUUGGGGGCAUUAGUAUUCAAUUGUCAGAGGUGAAAUUCUUGGAUUUAUUGAAGACUAACUACUGCGAAAGCAUUUGCCAAGGAUGUUUUCAUUAAUCAAGAACGAAAGUUAGGGGAUCGAAGACGAUCAGAUACCGUCGUAGUCUUAACCAUAAACUAUGCCGACUAGGGAUCGGAUGAUGU